UACGGAGGGUGCGAGCGUUGUCCGGAAUCACUGGGCGUAAAGAGCUCGUAGGCGGUUUGUCGCGUCUGCUGUGAAAACCUCAGGCUCAACCUGGGGCUUGCAGUGGGUACGGGCAGACUAGAGUGCGGUAGGGGUGACUGGAAUUCCUGGUGUAGCGGUGAAAUGCGCAGAUAUCAGGAGGAACACCGGUGGCGAAGGCAAUCCCCUGGACCUGUACUGACGCUCAUGCACGAAAGCGUGGGGAGCAAACAGG
rnacentral:rRNA from 1 species